GGAGAGAUGCCGGAGUGGCUGAACGGGCUCGCCUGGAAAGCGUGUGUGCCUCAAAAAGGUACCGAGGGUUCGAAUCCCUCUCUCUCCGCCA
rnacentral:tRNA from 1 species